rnacentral:rRNA from 1 species
AUGGUGGUCGGCCGCCGCCGGCUCAACCGGCGCGAGCUCGACGAGUUCGAGCUCGAGCGCGCCCGUCGCCGCCGCGCCUCCUCCGGCAACUGGUCUGCAGGGAGUUCAUCCGUCCACGGGUCCGCGGGGUGCUCAUCCGCGGGCGCAUCGAGCUCGCGGCUCGUUCCGGUGAAGAGGGAGUCGGAGGAGGCCGUGCCCGAUGCGCCGCCGCGCCGAGGCGUCAUCGGACCCGAGGACUACCUCCCACCGGGGCAGGAGGAGCUCCUCGAGCGCGUCGUCCUUGAGCGGUCGACGAGGGAUCAGGAGGAGAUGGAAGAGCGCAUCCGGCGCGAGCUCGAGUACGAGCGGCUCUUCCUCGAGACGGGCCUCACGGCAUCGCAGGCGCACGCAUCGAAGGAGGCCGACCUGCACGUGAUGAAGACAGAGCAGGCGAAGCUCUACAUCGAGGUCGACUCCGACUCCGACUGA